AUGAACGCUAGCGACAGGCUUAACACAUGCAAGUCGAGGGGCAGCGGGGGUAAAGGCUUGCCUUUACCUGCCGGCGACCGGCGCACGGGUGAGUAACACGUAUGCAACCUGGCCGUCACAGGAGGAUAACCGGGAGAAAUUCCGCCUAAUACUCCAUAACACUUUCCGGGGACAUCCCCGGGAAGUCAAAGGGUUUCGACCCGGUGACGGAUGGGCAUGCGGCGCAUUAGCUAGUCGGCGGGGUAACGGCCCACCGAGGCGACGAUGCGUAGGGGUUCUGAGAGGAAGGUCCCCCACAUUGGAACUGAGACACGGUCCAAACUCCUACGGGAGGCAGCAGUGAGGAAUAUUGGUCAAUGGGCGGAAGCCUGAACCAGCCAAGUCGCGUGAGGGAAUAAGGCCCUAAGGGUCGUAAACCUCUUUUGCCGGGGAGCAAUGGUCGGCUUGCGAGCGGACAGGGAGAGUACCCGGAGAAAAAGCAUCGGCUAACUCCGUGCCAGCAGCCGCGGUAAUACGGAGGAUGCGAGCGUUAUCCGGAUUUAUUGGGUUUAAAGGGUGCGUAGGCGGAUUGUCAAGUCAGCGGUCAAAAGUCGGGGCUCAAUCCCGUGAAGCCGUUGAAACUGGCGGUCUUGAGUGAGCGAGAAGCAGGCGGAAUGCGUGGUGUAGCGGUGAAAUGCAUAGAUAUCACGCAGAACCCCGAUUGCGAAGGCAGCCUGCCGGCGCUCAACUGACGCUGAGGCACGAAAGUGCGGGGAUCGAACAGGAUUAGAUACCCUGGUAGUCCGCACAGUAAACGAUGAAUGCUAGCUGUCCGGUGCGAAUGAGCGCUGGGUGGCACAGCGAAAGCGUUAAGCAUUCCACCUGGGGAGUACGCCGGCAACGGUGAAACUCAAAGGAAUUGACGGGGGCCCGCACAAGCAGCGGAGCAUGUGGUUUAAUUCGAAGCAACGCGAAGAACCUUACCAAGGCUUGACAUAUACAGGAAUAUUUAAGAGAUUAAAUAGCUCUUCGGAGUCUGUAUACAGGUGGUGCAUGGUUGUCGUCAGCUCGUGCCGUGAGGUGUCGGCUUAAGUGCCAUAACGAGCGCAACCCCUACCGACAGUUGCUAACUGGUCAAGCAGAGGACUCUGUCGGGACUGCCGGCGCAAGCUGCGAGGAAGGCGGGGAUGACGUCAAAUCAGCACGGCCCUUACGUCCGGGGCGACACACGUGUUACAAUGGCAGGUACAGAGGGAAGCCACCUGGCGACAGGGAGCGGAACCCGAAAACCUGUCUCAGUUCGGAUCGGGGUCUGCAACCCGACUCCGUGAAGCUGGAUUCGCUAGUAAUCGCGCAUCAGCCAUGGCGCGGUGAAUACGUUCCCGGGCCUUGUACACACCGCCCGUCAAGCCAUGGGAGCCGGGGGUGCCUGAAGGCCGUGACCGCAAGGAGCGGCCUAGGGUAAAACCGGUGACUGGGGCU
rnacentral:rRNA from 1 species